rnacentral:tRNA from 1 species
CCGGGUGUGGCGCAGCUUGGUAGCGCACCUCGUUCGGGACGAGGGGGUCGCCAGUUCGAAUCUGGCCACCCGGACAA